rnacentral:rRNA from 1 species
AUGCACGCUGGCGGCGUGCUUAACACAUGCAAGUCGAACGAGAAGUGAAGACGGAAACCUUCGGGCGGAAGGCUUUAUUUCGAGUGGCGGACGGGUGAGUAACGCGUGGGUAACCUGCCUCAUACAGGGGGAUAACAGUUGGAAACGACUGUUAAUACCGCAUAAGACCACAGCACCGCAUGGUGCGGGGGUAAAAACUCCGGUGGUAUGAGAUGGACCCGCGUUCGAUUAGCCAGUUGGCGGGGUAACGGCCCACCAAAGCGACGAUCGAUAGCCGAUCUGAGAGGAUGACCGGCCACAUUGGGACUGAGACACGGCCCAAACUCCUACGGGAGGCAGCAGUGGGGAAUAUUGCACAAUGGGGGAAACCCUGAUGCAGCGACGCCGCGUGAGUGAAGAAGUAUUUCGGUAUGUAAAGCUCUAUCAGCAGGGAAGAAAAUGACGGUACCUGAGUAAGAAGCCCCGGCUAACUACGUG